rnacentral:piRNA from 1 species
UCAGAGAAACAAUGCUAU